rnacentral:sRNA from 1 species
AUAAAUUGUGGAGGGUCAUCUAUGCUAGAAGAUCCCAGGACAAUUUCGCGCUUCAGUUUCAUAGUAAGCUUUUUGCAGUAAAUGGCUUACUUCCGAUCUAGUGGCUCCACCAAUCAUGAAGACAAAAAUUCGGUUGCCUAGCCUCUUGAAGUCAUUAGAUCCAUAAAAUUAUAUUUGUUGAAUACCUUGAUUGACUAUCAUCAGAGUUUCGAGACUUAGCCCAGGUUGGUGUCCGCCGCGAUCUCCUGGACAUGGGUUGUGCUUGUGCUGGUUUAGUCGCGGCUGCACUUUGUGUAGAUCCUUGUUCAGUGGAACUGGGUUCACUCAUGGAUGGGUAUUCAUUCAAAGGUAAUGCACCUUUGCUCAGUUUCUCAAUCAACUCCUGUUAGAGAAUGAAUGCAAUCAAGCACACAUGUUAGUUCAAGGGAAGAAGGUAGAAAUAAUUUAGCUCAAAUCAUGACCUCACCUUUUGUGCAUCAAAUUUGAGAGAGAAGCCGCCAGGCCGUGAUGCCUUUUUUGUAUCUGAACCAACCAAGUAUCUUAAACUAUUUAUGGCAUCCAUCUCAUCAUGUGGCAGUUUUGCUAGCUGCAUAAAUGAAAGUUUGUUCAAAAUCAUUGAAUAAAAACUGACAAAUAAUUAGCAGUAAGACUGCUUUCAUUCUCUCUUUCUUAACAAACCUGCUUUGACCUGAGGAUACUGAUCACCUCCUUGGCUGCUGCAUCUCCAAAAACUAGAUCCUGCUCCACCUGCCCAAUGUCACGGAGACCAUACUCUCUGAUAAACUUGUUGAUUUUUCCAGCAAUCUGAAUAAAAGGUCAAUUUCUCAACUUGUUCACCGUAUUGUGGCAAAGCUUGAACGAUCUUCUGCAGAUCCUUUGUAGAAAUUUCACCACCAUCUCUACCUUGAAUGAAGUUGAGCUGCUUUAUUCUUUGAAACAAAGUUAUUCAUCUUAUCAUACAACCUCUCACUAGCCUGCCAUUUCAAUUAGUGUUAGAAAGCAGAGACCAAAUUAAUAGGGCAAGUGAACAGAUCAUGUUCAUUAUUAUAAUACGAUAUCACAUUUACCUCAUAUAUGUAUUUUUGGCCAUCCAUUUCAAGUAGAUCAUGGCACAUUGCAUCAUAGGUCCAUUCAUGAAUAACAGCACCUGAUCUAUAGGCCUGUCGACAAUGAGCAGUUCACAUGUCUCCUUCUGGGGAAAUUCAGGUAUUGUUGAUUUAUAUUUUGACACAAUAUCCCAAACAGCAGUCGCUAACCAUUUUGGAACCAUGUCAAAUUUUGGUGUUGUCAUUGGAUCUGUGCCCUUUGGGGCACGAUACCGCACACAAGGAAAUUCCUAAAAAAUAUGCAUAACUAGUAGAUCAUAUAGAUCGAAGGCUAUGAAUACCUGCAUGUCAAUUGCAAAGAACUCCAAAUUCAUCUGGAAUUAACAAUAUCGGCAUUAGAAAAUCCAUCUGUAAAAAUCAAAGAAAUAAAAGGUACAAACUACAGGAUAAUUAACCUCUCUUAGUGCACCAAUACGUGGUAUCACACUGCUGUCGUUCUUUAUGUAAGAGACCAGCUCCUUAGGAAUCGGUGAACUAAAGAAUAUGUAUGCCCUAUAAAAUCAAGUGAGAUAUUAACAUUGGUCAAUGGCGAUCGAAUAAUACUUUUCUUUCAGUGGCUGGAGGAAGUAGAUUGCAUCCAUGGAAGGCAUGGGCUCCCUUCGCUUGAAAAGAUCUUCAACCAACGAGAUUCCUGCAUCGGUAAUUUCUGCCAUCUUGCAGGCAUAAGCCAUGAUCCUCACCGUAAAUUUGUCCAUGAUAAGAACCUGCACAGGAGAUU